GGAGAGGUGGCAGAGUGGUCGAACGCACCGCACUCGAAAUGCGGCAUACCUGCAAGGGUAUCGUGGGUUCAAAUCCCACCCUCUCCGCCA
rnacentral:tRNA from 12 species